GACGAACGCUGGCGGCGUGCUUAACACAUGCAAGUCGAACGGAAAGGCCCUGCUUUUGUGGGGUGCUCGAGUGGCGAACGGGUGAGUAACACGUGAGUAACCUGCCCUUGACUUUGGGAUAACGUCAGGAAACUGGGGCUAAUACCGGGUAGGAGCUCCUGCUGCAUGGUGGGGGUUGGAAAGUUUCGGCGGUUGGGGAUGGACUCGCGGCUUAUCAGCUUGUUGGUGGGGUAGUGGCCUACCAAGGCGUUGACGGGUAGCCGGCCUGGGAGGGGGACCGGCCACAUUGGGACUGAGAUACGGCCCAGACUCCUACGGGGGGCCGCAGUGGGGAAUAUUGCACAAUGGGCGCAAGCCCGAUGCAGCAACGCCGCGUGCGGGAUGACGGGCUUCGGGUUGGAAACCGCUUUCAGCAGGGACGAAGCUUUUUGUGACGGUACCUGCAGAAGAAGCACCGGCUAACUACGUG
rnacentral:rRNA from 1 species